GAAUUUCCAAGAAAGCUGGAGCAUAUUCCUUGUGUCGGAGGAGUUACAAACCUGACAGUUGACUGCACCUUCACGUUUACUCUUGUGAAUGUAUUUUAGGAGUAAGCAAAUGCCUGAUUCCCCAGGCAUUGUCAUGUGAAGGUGGAUCAUCUCUCUAUGACUUCAGAUGGGUUCUGCAUAGGUCUUGAAUUUCACAGAAAAGGACCAGAUUGGAGGAUUGAGGCCAGAAUAACAUUCAAAAUCAGAAAAAGAGAACAUGUUCCUUCUGUUUGGUUCCCACAUUGGAAGCUUCCACUCUUCCAUCAAACUGACUCUGAAAUACUAUUCCCAGCAAUUUGUUUCUUGGAUACCACUGUGAAAGUUUUCAGUGGCCAGCUUACCACCACAUUGUAUAAGAAAUCAACUGAUCACUAUAGCUAUCUCUAAAUCAGCAGCUCUCAUUUUAAGCACAUGACUAUAUCCAUUGUCUACAGUCAAGCUCUAUGCUACAAUAGUAUCUGCUCUGAUCCCAUUGAUCAGGAUGCACACUUAAAGGAUCUUGAGUACAGUACCAUCCUAAAACAAGCCACUCAAUCAACAGAGCCAGAUGCAAACCCCACUCCAAUCUACUACAAUAACAACUCCAAGAGAAGAGCCACUGAAUACCUUCUGCUGUAACCUCUAGCCCCCAGCCUGAACACCUGAGACACAUCAGUAAUGACUUCCAACCCCUCCUGGAAAGCAACAGCCAUCUGAUAGUAGCCAUGGAGGGUAGCCCUGUCUUAGUUUCUCCUCCCCAACCUCAAGCGCCAUUUCUCUAGCAACGGAUUUCCUAACUCCUAUU